rnacentral:ncRNA from 1 species
UUNGUGGUUCUAUUUUGUUGGUUUCUAGGACCGCCGUAAUGAUUAAUAGGGACAGUCGGGGGCAUCAGUAUUCAAUUGUCAGAGGUGAAAUUCUUAGAUUUAUUGAAGACUAACUACUGCGAAAGCAUUUGCCAAGGAUGUUUUCAUUAAUCAGGAACGAAAGUUAGGGGAUCGAAGACGAUCAGAUACCGUCGUAGUCUUAACCAUAAACUAUGCCGACUAGGGAUCGGACGAUGUUAUUUUUUGACGCGUUCGGCACCUUACGAGAAAUCAAAGUGCUUGGGCUCCAGGGGGAGUAUGGUCGCAAGGCUGAAACUUAAAGAAAUUGACGGAAGGGCACCACCAGGGGUAAACCGCUUCAUGCAGCCGCAGUAGCUCUGCUCCAAAAAGCAGCCCGAAAGGGUCAGUGGUGUUCCUGUCCGCGCUACGGCGCGGCGAACUAAGUGCUAGUCUCUCCGGAGGCGACACCCUCAAAUUGCGGGAAACUUCUAAAACCAGUGCCACCAAGCCGGCGUCGAAAAGGCGUCGGUGGCCGGGGCAAUGACCUAGGGUAUGGUAAAAGCGCACUGGAUAUAUGGACAAUCCGCAGCCAAGCCUCGUCACGGGGAAGGUUCAGAGACUAAAUGGGGGUGGGUAGUGUGCUGGAGGAUUCGUCCCCCGAGCGCUCGCUCACACACUGCUUAAGAUAUAGUCCGCCCGCGCUGGAAACGGCGCGGAUUAGCAAGCUCAAAUAAACGGGAGCCUGCGGCUUAAUUUGACUCAACACGGGGAAACUCACCAGGUCCAGACACAAUGAGGA